rnacentral:rRNA from 1 species
GUCUACGGCCAUACCACCCUGAACGCGCCCGAUCUCGUCUGAUCUCGGAAGCUAAGCAGGGUCGGGCCUGCUUAGUACU